rnacentral:tRNA from 1 species
CGAGACGUAGUUCAGCGGCCAGAACGCCUGCUUCAUACGCAGGAUGGCGGUGGUUCGACUCCACCCGUCUCGACCA